rnacentral:rRNA from 1 species
CCUUAAUGGAGAGUUUGAUCCUGGCUCAGGACGAACGCUGGCGGCGUGCCUAAUACAUGCAAGUCGAGCGGAUCUGUUCCUUCGGGGAUAGGUUAGCGGCGGACGGGUGAGUAACACGUAGGCAACCUGCCUGUAAGAUCGGGAUAACUACCGGAAACGGUAGCUAAGACCGGAUAGCUGGUU